CAAGGAAUUUUCGUCAAUGGGCGCAAGCCUGAACGAGCAACGCCGCGUGCAGGAUGACGGCCUUCGGGUUGUAAACUGCUUUUUCGGGGGACGAUGAUGACGGUACCCCGGGAAUAAGGCUCGGCUAACUCUGUGCCAGCAGCCGCGGUAAGACAGAGGAGCCAAGCGUUGUCCGGAUUGACUGGGCGUAAAGCGCACGCAGGCGGUCUGGCGCGUGGGGUGUGAAAUCUGGCCGCUUAACGGCCAGGCGCCAUCCCAUACGGCCGGACUGGAGCCAUGCAGAGGGCGGUGGAAUUGCCGGUGUAGUGGUGAAAUGCGUAGAGAUCGGCAGGAACACCCAGGGGGAAACCAGCCGCCUGGGCAUGCGCUGACGCUGAGGUGCGAGAGCGUGGGGAGCGAACCGG
rnacentral:rRNA from 1 species